rnacentral:rRNA from 1 species
UACGUAGGGGGCAAGCGUUGUCCGGAUUUAUUGGGCGUAAAGAGCGUGUAGGCGGCUUGGUAGGUCCAGCUGUGAAAACUCGAGGCUCAACCUCGAGACGCGGUGGAAACCACAGACUAGAGUCCGGAAGAGGAGAGUGGAAUUCCUGGUGUAGCGGUGAAAUGCGCAGAUAUCAGGAGAACACCCGGUGGCUAAGGCGG